ACGGAAGGCAGCAGUGGGGAAUAUUGGGCAAUGGGCGAAAGCCUGACCCAGCAAUGCCGCGUGAAGGAAGAAGGUCUUCGGAUUGUAAACUUCUUUUAUGAGGGACGAAGGAUUUGACGGUACAUCAUGAAUAAGCCACGGCUAACUACGUGCCAGCAGCCGCGGUAAUACGUAGGUGGCAAGCGUUAUCCGGAUUUACUGGGUGUAAAGGGCGCGUAGGCGGGGAAGCAAGUCAGAUGUGAAAUCUAUGGGCUUAACUCAUAAACUGCAUUUGAAACUGUUUCUCUUGAGUGCUGGAGAGGUAGAUGGAAUUCCUAGUGUAGCGGUGAAAUGCGUAGAUAUUAGGAAGAACACCAGUGGCGAAGGCGAUCUACUGGACAGUAACUGACGCUGAGGCGCGAAAGCGUGGGGAGCAAACAGGAUUAGAUACCCUGGUA
rnacentral:rRNA from 1 species